rnacentral:rRNA from 1 species
UACGUAGGGUGCGAGCGUUAAUCGGAAUUACUGGGCGUAAAGCGUGCGCAGGCGGUUCUGAAAGUCAGCUGUGAAAUCCCCCGGCUUAACCUGGGAACUGCGUCUGAUACUGGACGGCUUGAGUAUGGGAGAGGGAUGUAGAAUUCCAGGUGUAGCGGUGAAAUGCGUAGAUAUCUGGAGGAAUACCGGUGGCGAAGGCGGCAUCCUGGACCAUUACUGACACUGAUCCGCGAAAGCUAGGGGAGCAAACGGG